rnacentral:rRNA from 1 species
GACGAACGCUGGCGGCGUGCCUAAUACAUGCAAGUCGAACGCAGUUGCGCACGGGUGCGUAACGCGUAGGUACCUGCCUCAUUGCGGGGGAUAACCAUUGGACACGAUAUCUAAUUCCGCAUACUGUGAGCUGGCCCUGCGUUGUAUUAGCUAGUUGGUGGGGUAAAGGGUAACAAAGGCGAAGAUACAUAGCCGACCUGAGAGGGUGGUAGGACACGAUGGGAAUGAGAAAAGGGCCAGACGGGUAAGGGAGGCAGCAGGAGGGAAUCUUAGGAAAUGGAGGGAAGUCUGACCGAGCAACGCCGCGUGAGUGAAGAAGGUUGUCGGAGCGUAAAGGUCUGUUGAUAGAGAAGCGGUAACUAACCAGAAAGGGACGGCUAACUACGUGCCAGCCGCCGCGGUAAUAC